rnacentral:pre_miRNA from 1 species
AGAACAUUCGGACCGUCGGUCUACCGAGCAAAUAUCACCCGCUCAGUGGAAGAUCUUCCCUUGGUCUU